rnacentral:rRNA from 1 species
GCAUAUCAAUAAGCGGAGGAAAAGAAACCAACAGGGAUUGCCCUAGUAACGGCGAGUGAAGCGGCAACAGCUCAAAUUUGAAAUCUGGCUCUUUUAGAGUCCGAGUUGUAAUUUGCAGAGGGCGCUUUGGCUUUGGCAGCGGUCCAAGUUCCUUGGAACAGGACGUCACAGAGGGUGAGAAUCCCGUACGUGGUCGCUAGCUAUUGCCGUGUAAAGCCCCUUCGACGAGUCGAGUUGUUUGGGAAUGCAGCUCUAAAUGGGAGGUAAAUUUCUUCUAAAGCUAAAUACUGGCCAGAGACCGAUAGCGCACAAGUAGAGUGAUCGAAAGAUGAAAAGCACUUUGGAAAGAGAGUCAAACAGCACGUGAAAUUGUUGAAAGGGAAGCGCUUGCAGCCAGACUUGCUUGCAGUUGCUCAUCCGGGCUCUUUUGCCCGGUGCAUUCUUCUGCAGGCAGGCCAGCAUCAGUUUGGGCGGUGGGAUAAAGGUCUCUGUCACGUACCUCUCUUCGGGGAGGCCUUAUAGGGGAGACGACAUACCACCAGCCUGGACUGAGGUCCGCGCAUUUAUGCUAGGAUGCUGGCGUAAUGGCUGUAAGCGGCCCGUCUUGAAACACGGACCAAGGAGUCUAACAUCUAUGCGAGUGUUUGGGUGUCAAGCCCGAACGCGUAAUGAAAGUGAACGGAGGUGGGAACCCGCAAGGGUGCACCAUCGACCGAUCCUGAUGUCUUCGGAAGGAUUUGAGUAAGAGCAUGGCUGUUGGGACCCGAAAGAUGGUGAACUAUGCUUGAAUAGGGUGAAGCCAGAGGAAACUCUGGUGGAGGCUCGCAGCGGUUCUGACGUGYAMMYCSWUMRUCWAAWUUGGGCAUAGGGGCGAAAGACUAAUCGAACUAUCUAGUAGCUGGKUUCCUGCCGAAGU